rnacentral:lncRNA from 1 species
GGGUGUGAGAUUUUCUGAUGGAUAUGAGAUGGCGCAUGAAAAAGGCGUGAGAUAAGUUUGAAAGCAACCCAUCGCUAACUAUUUAAAGGGGGCUAUACCGGAGAUUCAAUUCAUUCAGAAUUCUAAACAUAUUUCUUCUUUCUUACACUCUCUCCCUAUUGUCCAAUUAGUCUCUUCCUUUUCUUGUUAGGACAAGUCCAAAAAUAGUAAGGACAAGUCCGAUUUUAGGACAAGAGCCUA